CAACUUGAGGUUGAGAAGGACAAGUGACCGCUUCAAUUUCUAUCUAAUUGUUUACUCUGCUUUUCUCUUCGCCUGUACUCUAUGUUUUUCGCUGGUAGUAAAUAUCAUCGAAUACCUUUGUUUCUUUGUUCGAUCUCUGACCCUCCGGCCAAAUUACUGAUGCCUAUCGAUAAAAAAGCCACGGCGCCAAGCUGUCUCUUUCAGAAGAGGAAGCGACAUUACUCAGCAGAAAGAGCUUCUUAAAUAAAGCUCAAGAGACAUGAUGUGUAUGCAAAUGAGUCAGCGGAUAAAAAAGAAAUGCUUUUAUCACAACAACGAUCAAAAAAUAUUGAGUCGACAAGCCAAGGUCUCUUGGUUAAACAUACUGAAGUAGCAUCAUCUUCUGAAGCUGUUGCUGAGUGACCUAGACAGAGAAUACUAACAAUAGGGGAAUCAUGUUGCCUUGGUGAAAAAGCCGAUAAAUCUUGCGCGGACGGCACAACAGUUUGUUCUAACAAAGGGAAGAAUAUAAUUGGCUCCCUUUCUGUAUUCGAAUAUGGUUCCUCAUCAAAUUCACUCGAUGAACGGCGUGAUCCUGCGGCAUCCAUUGUCAUAAAAAAAGUUUUACUUAUCUUUCAGGAUAUCAUAACCAAAAGAAUUGUACAGGCAACAAAGACUACUGCUGUAAGUUAAUGGGAAUGGAGACAACUGAUCAGAGUGUUCACUUAGAAGAAACUGGAAGACUUGAAAUGGAUGUUCGAUUCGCUAGCUGCACAAUCUCAAAGCAGUGGAGAAUACAUUCUUCAUGGUUAUUAGUAUUUAAAUCACACUAUUCUUUUUUAGAAAUAUGUUGUUUUUUUCAUUAUUUUGGUGUAUGAUUUUAUUGAGUUUUAAUUGAGAAUGUUUAUGUGGGCCUUCCAUUAAGCAUUAGUUGUGAUUGUAAUGUCUAGAGAUGUCUUGAUAUAUCUGAGGAUGAGGGUUGGUUGAGUUGGUGAAAAGGAAAAGUGAACCAUGUGUCAAAUUUUGAUGACUGAAGAAGAACCCAAGUAGUUAAAUAAAUAUAACUUGUAUCUCUUUUGAUGCACUUCUCUUUCCCAGAAAGAAGACGUGUGAUUAAAUGUUAUCUGUACUUCUAUUUGAAGUGAAAGAUUUUAAACCUAACAUGAACAUUGGCUAACUAUAUCUUGGCUAAGAAAAAAAAAGGCAUUCCUUGUUAAUUGAAAGUUAUAAAGAAUGUUAUCAAGUUGACAAUAAAUAUUUUAUUACCUUUGCCUAUUAGUUGAGCGUGAGCAUAUAUAAUGCAGUUGGAUUUUAGAUGGAAGUAGGGUUAGAUUGAGAUAGAUGGGCAGAAAUAUGACAAUAGCAUCAUGUCGAGACGAUCAUACAUUUUAUUUAAAGCUAAUAAUGAAGUCAUCCCGCCUAAUUCAUAGUAUUUUAUUCAACGGUUACAUAUACUUAUCUUUUUGUUCUUUUCGCUAAGUAUGUAUACUUCUGAGAUCUUAUUGCUACUAUGAACAAAACAAGUCUGGCAGGCAAAUUAGUUACUUUGGCAGUGGAAAUUAUAUGAUAAUCUGACUUAUUGAGUACAAUCCUACUCAGAUUUCUACACCAUAAAUAAAAUGUGAAUUUUAUAGAUGAUUUGUACAUUUACUGUUACUCUGCUCAAAAGUGGUGUGUGAUGUCUUACCAUAAGGUCUUUGUCAACUGUGAUGUUUUGUUUCCAUCCGUAUUUUUAUUAGAGCAUUUAUGCUAUUUGUCCAACUUCGAGAGACUAUUGCCGGUAUAGCCAUUGGAUGCCUUCAGUAAUGAAGGACAAUAAAGGAGCUUCAGAGUGCUAUCAUCAUGGUGAAUGCAAAAAAUAUUACUGAACCUAUUAUUAUGGAGAAAAUUCUACAAUAUAAAUUGAACUUUGGAGUCCUUAGCGCCUCCUCUCCAAGUAGGUGGAUGAGCUCUUGAUCAUGAUGCUAUAUUGUGUGAUUACUCCCCCGAAGGAGCAUGUUUUGCUUGUGUUAGGACAUCAAGGUGACCCAAAUGAAAAAGAGAGAGUGUGUGUGGUGAAUUCUUAGGAAUAAAGGUGAACUUCUCUGUGAGAUCUUGUUACAAAACAAUUCAUGUGGGAGGUGAGAGAAUGUUCCAAAAUGGUUAGAAUGACGAAUCUGGAAAGAAAGGGGCCCUUACAAAGUGGCCUAUUUCACAUGCUUAGCAUCGCUCAAAUCUUAUUUAACAGAAGAUAAUAUAUUUAAAAAGACGUUUCAACUUAUGUAAUGGGUGUUACAUAUGCAAAGAGUAUAUCGCUGGAAACAACCAACUUGUUUUUGCACUAUAAGAUGGCUUCACAAGUUUGAGACAUAUUUUUGAACUUAUUUAAUCUAAAGUGGACGAUGCCAAACUCACAGAAGGAGUUAUAUGUUACGCUUCUACAACUUGAGGAGAAGAGAAUAGUGUGACAAAGACUAUGCCUUCUUGCAUUUGAUGUACAAUAUGGAAAUUAAAGAGAGAAAUCUUAAAUGUUUUGAAGACAAAGCGAAGCCCGUCAGCAAAAUUUUAUAAAUUUAGUUGUUUUUCUGUUGUCCUUUUGGUGCAGGGCAGAAUGUUUAAAAAGUGGUGUAAAUCUGAUAGAAUUUCAUUAGUUCAUUUCAGAGUAGCGAAUCUGAAAAUGUUUUACUGUAGUUGUAUAUUAUUAUACACCGGGUGGUUACUGGGCACAACAUUCAGAAAUAUAUUAGUUGAGUAACCCUGGUGUUUACCUUGGUAAUGUUUAUUCAUGAACUUUUUACUUCCACAGAAGUAGAUAUAUAGAAUAUGUAGUAAACUUUUCUUUUGCUGCUGACCUGUAUUAUAAUAACUUUACUUUGGUUUGAGCCACCAUUAAUAAACUCAUUGCUUCUACAA